AUCUAAGGAGGACAGACAGCGGACAGACAGAGGACAGCGAGAGGGACAGAGGAAAAGGAGAGGGAGGACGGACGUCAUGCAUCAGCAUUUAAUCAAUGUGAAUUAUGUUUAUUCACAUGAAUCAUAACUAUUAUUACGAUAAGAUUUAUUAGUCCCACAAUGGGGGUAAAAAACAACAAGACGAGAGCAGCAGUAAUAAGUAGGUUGUUGGCGUUGAGGCCGACUCUGAACUGACCGCCGGGCUCCUGAGACACCAGAGACGUCUCCUCCUCCACAGCGAGAGACAUCGCCUCCGUUAGCUCCUCCCCCCCGUCACUGACACACAGCUACAUCACCACAACAACAACAACAUUAAGGACAACGCACAUGAGGCCAUGAGACAGAUCAUGAGACACUGACCUUCUGCAGCUGAGGAUCCACCCUCCAGAUCCUGAGAGUCUGAUCUCUGGACCACGUCACCAGCUGGUAGUCCUUGGAACCUGGACCGUCAACAACAACAGGACCAGCACAGUGUCAACAACUACUGUGGGCUAUUGCACAAAAGUACAAUAAAGAAAUCCAUCACCACAA